CAGUAGCCGCGGGAAUACGUAGGGUGCGAGCGUUAAUCGGAAUUACUGGGCGUAAAGCGUGCGCAGGCGGUUCGUUAAGACAGAUGUGAAAUCCCCGGGCUUAACCUGGGAACUGCAUUUGUGACUGGCGAGCUAGAGUAUGGCAGAGGGGGGUAGAAUUCCACGUGUAGCAGUGAAAUGCGUAGAGAUGUGGAGGAAUACCGAUGGCGAAGGCAGCCCCCUGGGCCAAUACUGACGCUCAUGCACGAAAGCGUGGGGAGCAAACAGGAUUAGAUACCCGGGUAGUCCCUGUCUCUUAUAA
rnacentral:rRNA from 1 species